rnacentral:rRNA from 1 species
GACGUAGGGCGCGAGCGUUGUCCGGAUUUAUUGGGCGUAAAGAGCUCGUAGGCGGCUUGUCGCGUCGACUGUGAAAACUCGAGGCUCAACCUCGGGCUUGCAGUGGAUACGGGCAGACUAGAGUGCGGUAGGGGAGACUGGAAUUCCUGGUGUAGCGGUGGAAUGCGCAGAUAUCAGGAGGAACACCGAUGGCGAAGGCAGGUCUCUGGGCCGCAACUGACGCUGAGGAGCGAAAGCAUGGGGGAGCGAACAGG